GUGGCGGUGGAAACCUGGGGACCGGGCAGGACUUGGGGUCUGCGGCGGGGCGCGCGCGUGCGCCUGCAGAUAGAUCGUGACCAUCCUGUUCCCGCAGCUCUAUUCCCUAGGCCGAGCGUCCCUGCGAACGCAGCACCCAGUACAGGGCCAGGAACACAGUAGGUGCCUAAUGUUUCAAAAGAUCACGAGUGUGCCCACGCUUUGUCAGCACUGCACAACAGUUCACAACAGCAGGCAGAAUUCCCCUCUCCCUGGUUCUAACUGGUGCAGUAUUUGUUGAUUGGCAAACAGCAGGGCAGGCGGAGAAGGGCGCUAGGCAGGUGGACAGGUUUCACGGGUCGCGGAGGCUGAGAGCAUCGACAAUUUCAGGCUGGAAAUAGCUCACGGAGACAAGAAAACCCAACCAAACCAAACGGUAUCUUCUGAGCAUGCGCAUUGAGUGCGUCACUAGCCUCAUUAGCCUGUAGCCUGAGAGAGCGCCUAGGUGCCUCGUUAGCGCAGUAGGUAGCGCGUCAGUCUCAUAAUCUGAAGGUCGUGAGUUCGAUCCUCACACGGGGCACAAUACUUUUGAUCUCAGUUUCUUUAUCCUUGCGGGGUAAACCCGGGUUUUAUUUGCUUGUCUGUCUGGGGCUGACCUUAAGAAGGGACGUAGCGGGAAUCUUGCCCACGCCAGGUGGCUCGGGACGAGGGCCUGGAGUCGCGCCCCUGCCUACCCACUACUUCGUGUUCCCUGCCCUUGCGGUUGAGCGUUGACUGUCGCGGGGCACAGGGACACCUCUGGGCCGAGCUCAGAAUACAGAAGGUCGAUGGGUCGCAGCAGAGUAGGGCCCCUGGCACCGAGGCCCGGGCGUAGUGACCGGGAGCUCCGUGAGGCGGGGAGCGAGGGCGACGUGUGAACAGAUGCUGGACAGCAGAGAGCAUCGAACACCAUGGCGGGGAGUUGGGGCUGUGGAAGGGGGAGUGGCCGGCUGUGAUGGGACCCGGAGAAGGGACCCCAGGAAUCCCGGAGGCAGCUGCUAGGGCACGGCAGGCCAGGGGCUGUGUCGAGGCUGCAUCGAGAGCUGCUGCAGCUACUGUGUCACCUACUGAAUUCCUCACUCAUUCCCAAAGACCAUCUCCCCUCUCCACAGGUGAAUUGCAAAUUACAGGAGACGGGACAGCGGUUCCCAGCUCCUCACCUUCCAGCCUCCGCAAGUCCCAGGGAAGACUGCGGUGACACUCCCGGUUUACUGUCCCGGCUUGGAGGUCCCCCGGAGCUCUCACUUGGCUCUUUCUAGGGUAAUAGCCCUUACUCAGUGGAUCACAGGCCGCGGUGCAGAUUCCUCAUUUACCGGUCUAUGUUUAUUCCAGUUAUCUGGAUACUCGGGUAAAUAGCACAGGUUUGGAUGACGUGCUGUGGAUGUGGACUAGCUCUGGCCUGGACAACCCUCGAACCACUCCAUUCUCCACCCCUUCUUGGACAUGUCUGACCCUGAGCCUUGGAACAGAAGGGGGCUCCCUUUCCAAGGCCGUCCUUCCUUGAGAGAUCCCCCUCCAUCUGUGGCACCCUUUAGAGUUCUCUUUACUUCUUCAUAGUUGCCUCCCAUCAGCUUAACAAGUCUUUGUUAUACCUCCCUCAUUGUGUGGUUUGUCUCCUGAAUGGACCUAGACUGAUAUGAUGAGAUUAAACAUUAAAUUCAGAA